GAAUAACUGAUAAACAAUACAUCAUAGCUGGUCACACAUCACUUGGCUGAACCUACUAAAAUUUUGGUUAUGGGCUAAGACAUCCAGAUUCGCCUAUGGGCUGCGAUGAGGCGUAAGACUUGGGGGGUGCUUGUAUUAGGCUUCUUGCGCCUCAUGGCUAAAUGUUGCUAAAAGGUGCUUGUGGUGAGUAAAUGCAGGUGGAUAGCCUUCUGUGGCUGGGAAGUAGGGCUUGGUACAUUAGCGCUGUAACAGGAGGCUGUGGUUUUGCGUGGGGCGAACAGUUGGUUGUAAUAAUACAGGAGUAUCGCUUGCGCCCUCUGUGUAAAGGGGGGGGAACAAGGAGGCGCAAUCUCAUAGCUUUAUCUAAAGAUUACAGAGCCAGUGCCACAGGGUCAUGGUAUAUAAUAACAAUUAGCAUCAAAUAGUCAUAUGUAAAAUAAACUGAACAAUAUGGAACCUUGUGACACAGGUAGAUGUCGUCAGAGAGUUCAGGGUGUGAGGUCGGUGGCCACAGGUGCUCCCCUUCUGGGCACGAAUGGGGUGAUGUCUGCUACAUUCCAGGCUGGGUGGCCUGGCACCGGUGACCUCCCCUCUGGCAGGCCCAGGGAUUUCAGGAAGGCUGGUGCUUCAUUAGGGUGUGAUAUGGCAUAUGUCUUGCCCGCUUUAUCAGCAAGUAGGCGGCGUGUGCCCCAUUUGUAUGUGAUCGAGUUCUCCUGGAGGAGCUGGGUGAUUGAUUUAAGUGAUCUCCGCCAUGUCAGAGUAUGCCUUGAAAUGUCCCGGUAAAAUGCAAGCUGUGCCCCCUC